AUUGAACGCUGGCGGCAGGCAUAACACAUGCAAGUCGAACGAGUGGCGGACGGGUGAGUAAUGUCUGGGAAACUGCCCGAUGGAGGGGGAUAACUACUGGAAACGGUAGAUAAUACCGCAUACCAUCGGAUGUGCCCAGCUGGGAUUAGCUAGUAGGUGGGGUAAUGGCUCACCUAGGAGACGAUCCCUAGCUGGUAUGAGAGGAUGACCAGCAACACUUGAACUGAGACACGGUCCAGACUCCUACGGGAGUCAGCAGUGGGGAAUAUUGCACAAUUGGCGCAAGCCUGAUGCAGCCAUGCCGCGUAUAUGAAGAAGGCCUUCGGGUUUGAAAGUACUUUCAGCGUGGAGGCGUUACCCGCAGAAGAAGCACCGGCUAACUCCGUGCCAGCAGCCGCGGUAAUUC
rnacentral:rRNA from 1 species